UACGUAGGGGCCGAGCGUUGUCCGGAGUUAUUGGGCGUAAAGCGCGCGCAGGCGGCACUUCAAGUAAGGUGUGAAAUCUCCCUGCUCAACGGGGAGGGUGCACUUUAGACUGAGGAGCUAGAGGACGGUAGGGGGGGGUGGAAUUGCUGGUGUAGCGGUGAAAUGCGUAGAGAUCAGCAGGAACACCCGUGGCGAAGGCGGCCCCCUGGGCCGUACCUGACGCUGAGGCGCGAAGGCUAGGGGAGCGAACGGG
rnacentral:rRNA from 1 species